rnacentral:rRNA from 1 species
UGCCAGCCGCCGCGGUAAUACGGAAGGUGCAAGCGUUAAUCGGAAUUACUGGGCGUAAAGCGCGCGUAGGUGGUUUGUUAAGUUGGAUGUGAAAGCCCUGGGCUCAGCCUGGGAACUGCAUUCCAAACUGUCAGACUAGAGUGUGGUAGAGGGAGGUAGAAUUUCCUGUGUAGCGGUGAAAUGCGUAGAUAUGUGGAGGAAUACCAGUGGCGAAGGCGGCCUCCUGGCUCGACACUGACACUGAGGCGCGAAAGCGUGGGGAGCAAGCAGGAUUAGAUA